rnacentral:rRNA from 1 species
UACGUAGGGUGCGAGCGUUAAUCGGAAUUACUGGGCGUAAAGUGUGCGCAGGCGGCUUCGCAAGUCGAGUGUGAAAUCCCCGAGCUUAACUUGGGAAUUGCGCUCGAAACUACGGAGCUGGAGUGUGGCAGAGGAAGGUGGAAUUCCACGUGUAGCGGUGAAAUGCGUAGAGAUGUGGAGGAACACCGAUGGCGAAGGCAGCCUUCUGGGUCAAGAUUGACGCUCAUGCACGAAAGCGUGGGGAGCAAACAGG